AUUCUAUUCUGUGUUCACCCCACACACAUAACCAAUUACUUCUAUGUCAACAGCAACUCUCUAAGUACAAUUUUUUCCACUCUAUUUCACUUUUACUAAAAUCCAACGGCCACCGGCAGCCAUUUUGUUAGGAGACCGGAAAUAGUACCAACGCUUUACAUUCGUUAAUACCUUUCAAACAAAAAAAUCAUGAAAUU